rnacentral:lncRNA from 1 species
AUGACUUGGGAGCCAGAAUCAAUUAUGCGCGAAAAGUAUCCCCAUUUGUUUGAAGCGCAAGGUUAAUACGGUCAUAAUAAUUCGAGGACGAAUUAUAUUAAAGGGGGGAAGAUUGAAAUGGCUGGUAUUAUAUUUUUUCUAAAAAUUAUUAUUAUAAUGAUAAUGAUAAAAUAAUAGUGGGAAAAAAAAAUAAAUAAAGAAUAGGUGGGCAGAUUUUUUACGGGACAAUAUAUAUCCUCCUUCAUCUUUAUCUUAUAUUUUUUUACCAAAAAGACAAUCACAACACACACAAGUCUAGAGCUUUCCUUAUUUCUCCUCUCUGUUCCUAUCCUCGUCUCCCUCACCUCUCAUCUAUUCAUUCUAUCUUUCUUCAUUUUCUUACAACCUUUCCCCUAAAUUCUAUCGUAUGUUCUACUUGUUAUGAACUCAAGCUUGGAAAGAAUAUUGAGUGAGAAGUGAAAAUACUCAUUCAUGGAGAGUUUGAUAUUUGGUGUUCCUUGAGGUAAAAAUCUAUGAUUUAUGAAAUUUAGAGAUGAUAUUUAGCUGGGCUAAGUAGUGAAAAGUAGUAUAGAUAGUUUAAAUCUUAAAUUUUCAUGGACCCUUUUAAACCUAAGUCUAACAAAUUGGGGGUUUUGUCCAAUUCUUGUAUUUACCAUUAUUGUGGUCUCAAAUAAGUUUCUUUAAGUGCUGAAAUUCUUGUUUGAUAUUCAGAUUCGGUGGAAGUUGCUCCGGUGGCCGUUCCGGAANNNNNNNNNNNNNNNNNNNNNNNNNNNNNNNNNNNNNNNNNACGGAGUUGCCUCUUCAUAGUUGUGAGUAGAUAAUUUACCUUGUGACUAGUUUUCUAAGUUAUUUUUAUGGGAGAAACAACUUUUUAAGAAGAAAAGCUCAUUUCAAUCAAGAGUAAUUUCACAAAUGUAUUUAUUUUAAAGAUUUGGUUUUAGUUUUGUAAAAAUAGCAAAAGUUAG